GAGAAAGAAAUUGUUUUUGUGUGAAUUAGGAAUUUAGUUUAUGUAGUGGGAGAGAGAUUUAUAAAAACGAUAGAGAAGAGUACUGUAGGGGAAAUUGGGAGAUUAGGCUAUUUUGGAGAAGUAAAUGGGGUUGUACCUUUUGUAUUAGGGUUUAACAAGAGUUUGAAAGGUUUUUAUGAUCCCGAAGAAUUUUGAGCUAUUGGAAGGGAGUUUAAUCGUUUUAGAGAUUAAAUACACUUUUUUAUAGAGAUGAAAUUUUAUUCGAAAGGUUGGAUAUCUGGUUAGAUUGAGGAAAUUAUAUAUUUCGCUAUGGGGGUAGUAAUUGGAUAGAUCUUAUAGGUUUGGUUUCUUGGGAUAAGCUGGGGGAUAAUCUAUAUAAGGAUGUAUUUGGAUGAAGAAGGUUUAGAAAUUACUUUUGUUUUGUAAUAAAAGAUUUUAUUGUUUGUGUUGAAUUGGAUUGUUAAGUUUCUUGAUUAAUUUUUCUUUAGGAGAGAAAAUGUUGGGAUUAGUAUAAGUUUGUUAGUUUAGGAGUUUUUAACUUUAUUGAGGUUAGGAGAAAAUUAAGGAAGAAUUCGGCAAAGUGGAUUUUUGAAUGUUUAUCAAAAACAUUGUAUUUUGUGGUGAUGAAAUAUAUAACCUGCUCAAUGGGUAUUAUAAAUUGCUGUGGUAUUUUGACUAUACGAAGGUAUUGAAAUAAGGCUUUAAUUGGGUGCUAAGAGAAUGGUUUAACAAAGAUUAGCUUUUUUCUUAUUUAAAUUAGAAGUUAAUUUGAAAGUGAAGAAGCUUUUAUAAGAAUUUGGGACAAGAAGACCCUAUGAAUUUUUUCGGAGGUUAUUUUUUGUAUUUGUUUGGAAAAUGGAAUUUGAGUAAUUUUUGAUUGAUUGGGGCGAUUUUUAAAUUUAGGUAACUUUAAAAGUGUGUAAUUAGAACCAAAAAUUUUGGUCUUUUGAAUAAAAUACUCUAGGGAUAACAGCGUUAUUAUUUUGGAUAGUUCAUAUAGAUAAAGUAGUUUGCGACCUCGAUGUUGGAUUAGGAUACUUAAGUAAUGAAGGAAUUACAUUAAGAAGUUUGCUCAACUUUUAAAAUCCUACAUGAUCUGAGUUCAGACCGGCGUGAGCCAGGUUGGUUUCUAUCUAAAUUAAAGUGUGAUUUUGUUAGUACGAAAGGAAUACGGAGUCGAAAUUAUUUUGUAGAUUUUUGGCAUGUGAUGUUAACUUU
rnacentral:rRNA from 1 species